GUUGACCUCGGAUCAGGUAGGGAUACCCGCUGAACUUAAGCAUAUCAAUAAGCGGAGGAAAAGAAACCAACAGGGAUUGCCUUAGUAACGGCGAGUGAAGCGGCAACAGCUCAAAUUUGAAAGCUGGCUCUUUCAGGGUCCGCGUUGUAAUUUGUAGAGGAUGAUUCGGCGAGGGCUCCCGCCUAAGUCCCCUGGAACGGGGCGUCAUAGAGGGUGAGAAUCCCGUAUGCGGUGGGCUGCCUUAGCCAUGUGAAUCUCCUUCGACGAGUCGAGUUGUUUGGGAAUGCAGCUCUAAAUGGGAGGUAAAUUUCUUCUAAAGCUAAAUACCGGCCAGAGACCGAUAGCGCACAAGUAGAGUGAUCGAAAGAUGAAAAGCACUUUGGAAAGAGAGUUAAAAAGUACGUGAAAUUGUUGAAAGGGAAGCGCUUGCAACCAGACUUGUCCGCAGUUGCUCAGCCGGUCUCCUGACCGGCGUACUCUUCUGCGGCCAGGCCAGCAUCAGUUCGGGCGGUCGGAUAAAGACCUCGGGAAUGUGGCUCCUCUCGGGGAGUGUUAUAGCCCGGGGUGGAAUGCGGCCAGCCUGGACUGAGGAUCUCGCUUCGGCAAGGAUGCUGGCGUAAUGGUUGUAAGCGGCCCGUCUUGAAACACGGACCAAGGAGUCUAACAUCUAUGCGAGUGUUUGGGUGUCAAACCCAUACGCGUAAUGAAAGUGAACGGAGGUGGGAACCCUCACGGGUGCACCAUCGGCCGAUCCUGAUGUCUUCGGAUGGAUUUGAGCAAGAGCAUAGCUGUUGGGACCCGAAAGAUGGUGAACUAUGCCUGAAUAGGGUGAAGCCAGAGGAAACUCUGGUGGAGGCUCGCAGCGGUUCUGACGUGCAAAUCGAUCGUCAAAUUUGGGUAUAGGGGCGAAAGACUAAUCGAACCAUCUAGUAGCUGGU
rnacentral:rRNA from 1 species